GAUGAACGCUGACAGAAUGCUUAACACAUGCAAGUCUUUGGCGAAGCUGUGCUUGCACAGCCUAGCCAAGGCGGACGGGUGAGUAACGCGUAAGGAACUUGCCCUGCAGUCAGGGAUAACAGACGGAAACGACUGAUAAGACCUGGUAAAGUCAGGCGGACUCAUGUCCAGCCUGAUGAAAAGAGAUGCUGCAGGAGAGCCUUGCGUCCUAUUAGCUUGUUGUUGGGGUAACGGCCCACCAAGGCGAUGAUAGGUAGCCGGCCUGAGAGGGUGGACGGCCACAAGGGGACUGAGAUACGGCCCUUACGCCUACGGGAGGCAGCAGUGGGGAAUAUUGGACAAUGGGGGCAACCCUGAUCCAGCAAUUCUGUGUGCACGAUGAAGGUUUUCGGAUUGUAAAGUGCUUUCAGCAGGGAAGAAAAAAAUGACGGUACCUGCAGAAGAAGCGACGGCUAAAUACGUG
rnacentral:rRNA from 1 species